rnacentral:piRNA from 1 species
UAGACUUUGUAUAGCUUUCUCAUUAAC